UGGGGAAUAUUGCACAAUGGGCGCAAGCCUGAUGCAGCCAUGCCGCGUGUAUGAAGAAGGCCUUCGGGUUGUAAAGUACUUUCAGCGGGGAGGAAGGCGAUACGGUUAAUAACCGUGUCGAUUGACGUUACCCGCAGAAGAAGCACCGGCUAACUCCGUGCCAGCAGCCGCGGUAAUACGGAGGGUGCAAGCGUUAAUCGGAAUUACUGGGCGUAAAGCGCACGCAGGCGGUCUGUCAAGUCGGAUGUGAAAUCCCCGGGCUCAACCUGGGAACUGCAUCCGAAACUGGCAGGCUAGAGUCUUGUAGAGGGGGGUAGAAUUCCAGGUGUAGCGGUGAAAUGCGUAGAGAUCUGGAGGAAUACCGGUGGCGAAGGCGGCCCCCUGGACAAAGACUGACGCUCAUGCACGAAAGCGUGGGGAGCAAACA
rnacentral:rRNA from 1 species